AAAAAUCAUAUCAGAAAUACCUAGCUACUUUCCCUUCUGUUCUUAGUUUUAGUAGUUAUAGUAGAUAAAUUCCCCACUGAUCGAGGGUACUCCACAUCGGGAGUCAGUUCGAGCUGUAGAUCCAUGUUGGGAUCUGACACCACGUACCCGGUGGUCGUGGGCAAUUCGUCUCCACACGCCGGCUCUGCCGUUGGGUCUCUUUUCCCCCAACCUUGACGGCGCCAGGGUUUGUUCUCCGGCGAGAUGUGCUCCUUUGGUGUUGAGGUGCCACGGGAUCCAUGUUUGGGACGUCAGAGCCGAUUCCUGAUGUAUUCCCCGUGGAGUCGCGGGAUUUCAUGAGCAUCGCCGAUACCCAGCUGGGCCGCGGCAGCGAGGGCACACAUCUGUGCGGGGACGCCUGCUUAGGUUUGCUCAGAAGCCACCAGCGGCUGGACCAUUAGCGGCUGUCCCCCGUGGAUGAGUUUGCCGAAGCGCGGCAAGGUGGACCAUACAUGUAAUGAAGGGCCCCAAAUCUUCCAGUCGGAUGGAGUCAGGGGCUUCUCUUAGUAUCAUCGAAGCUGAAAUUUGCAACGCUGCUGAGCUUGGAAGUGGUGGGCAAAGUGGUGGAUUCCCCCCUGAAGCCGGUGUGUUCCAAGUUUGCGCUGAAGCUACUAGUGGAUGGACCAUGUAUUUUUGUCAAAUUCUUAACGAUGUCUCUGUAGUUCUUUGUGAUUUACUACAACAAUGGCUCCUAUACUAUUUAGUCGCUGAAAAUUCCAUUGUUAUCAAGAGCUUCCUUUUAUUCUUAGUAAUUCAUACGGCACAGUUCUGUCUAUUGAAGCUGUCCUAUUGACAACUGUUGCUGUUUCAUAUGAUACUCUCUUGACAGCAGGAACCUGAUUCAUCACGAAUGAUGCAAUAAUUGAAGAUAUGAAGAAGGCUUACAUGGACGCGCAAGAGAUCGAGGAGUAGAACAAAUAAGCUUUAUGCAAUGGAUAAUUUGCAAGGCAAGGUUCUCCAUGCCUGUAUGUACGUUGCUGCUUUUGGAAUUUGACAGUUGCUUACUGGUAAUGUUUCAUGAUUGAUGCUGAAUUCCUAGAUGCAUUUUGUAAACAUUUGGAUUUGUCCAGGGGCAUGCCUGUAUGUACUAGAUGUUUACUUGUUUUCACUUAUCUGCAGAAGUGGUAUGUUUCCUGUGAGAUUAAAUUAACUAGGUCCUAAUUAUGUAUUAUGUGAAAUGGUAUAUAUUAAUGGAUGUGUAUUUUCUGGUUACCA